UACGUAGGCAGCGAGCGUUGUUCGGAAUUACUGGGCGUAAAGAGUGUGUAGGCGGUGUUCCCAGUCUGUUGUGAAAUCUCCCGGUUUAACUGGGAGGGUGCAGCGGAAACUAGAAUGCUAGAGGGUGGGAGAGGUAAGCGGAAUUCCUGGUGUAGCGGUGAAAUGCGUAGAUAUCAGGAGGAACACCUGUGGUGUAGACAGCUUACUGGACCACUUCUGACGCUGAGACACGAAAGCGUGGGUAGCAAACAGG
rnacentral:rRNA from 1 species